AAAGUCGUAACAAGGUUUCCGUAGGUGAACCUGCGGAAGGAUCAUUAAAGCGUUGCCGACGUCGGCCCCGGCCGUCCGGCUUGAGAUAUAGCCUGGACGGUGCUGGAGGUCGCCGGCAGUUGCCCAUUCUUGCCUACUGACCCAGUUGCCUCGGCGAGCCGUGCCUCUUAUGGCAGACCGGAAGCCGUCUGAGCCCCUAGGGUUCGGGCGGCCCUGGCCAGUGCCCGCCGACGGACAGACAUAAAAUCUUUAUAUAUUGGCCGUCUGAGCGUAUAAAGCAAAUCAAUUAAAACUUUCAACAACGGAUCUCUUGGUUCCG
rnacentral:misc_RNA from 1 species